AAUCAAUUUGUUCUAAAACCUCUUCUACUCACACAUCAGUGUGGGAAAAUAUUUCAACACUACAAUGGCUGCUGGAGAUAACUGCCAUGGCCUUAGCUCUUAAAACCUCAUAUGGCGCAUUCAUCUGCAAAUGAGGAACUGCCUAUUCCUGCCAUCAUCCUUCUAAGGAGAUUGGUUAUCAUUACGUUGAAUAAGAUUUUCAUAUUUGGGACGAUUUACUCUUCCAGCAUUUCAACACAUGGCACUGUGGAAAUGACGAGGAAGUGGUGGAUCAAGAAGCUGGCAGCCAGCCAGUUUCUCCUGCUGUAGAACACUGAUAGCUGCAAGAUAGGACUGUGGCUUUUGGUACAUUGCUGGAAGGUACCUUUUGAAUUUAACAGCUUUUUUUUUUAUAUACUGCUCAUUAGCGUUGUACUAGCUCAGCAUGUUUUCUGGAUUUUCCAGAGGGAGGAGAUUGUAUGUUGUUAUUACUGGUGUGUGUUUGCUGAGCUCUGUAUAUUUCAACUUUGAAAACUGAGCUUUUUUUUGGAUCAUUUUGCCUUAAUUUUAGCCACCUUAUGUCCACCUCCAAAAAUGAACAUGAACCCCCUGGGAAGCUGUUCCAGUACUUGUGUUCAUUGGAGCCUUUACUGAGGUCUGCCGCUGGUGCCCAGAUUGGAAGCAGCAAUCUAGUAUGGCUUCACUAUGGCAGCUAUUUAUGUCUCUCCUGUUCUCUGUUACAAUAUCCAGUGAGUUGUUUUGUUUUGAAUGGAAACAAACCUGGCACAUUUUUUUGUAAAUAAUCUUAGCAGCAAUUAUCUGACUGGAAAAUUAAAUGGAUACUUAUAAACCUUGCCUAAGUGGAAUCUAUGAUGGAAACCAUCCUGGAAAAUCUAUUGGCUGCUAGUCGUGUACAGACAAAAGUAGUGCUAGUAGAUUUAAGCCUCUUCAGAGAAACUUAAAUCUCACCUACAUUCAGCCAAGGCAGUAUGUGCUGCAGCUCCUGUAGAACACAAAAUAACCACCUGUUAAGAAAAGCUGAGAUACUAGUGCUAAAUGCUGAUAUAUCAGUGUUCUGGGUAGGACUGGUAGCAUAGAAUCUAUGGAGGAAAAGGAAAUGUAACUGAAACCUUAUUGGAAACAAAAUGCCAUCAAUCUCUGUCACCCAGCAAAGAUUUUCAAAUACCAGGUCCUUCUGCAGGU